AGGCACUUGGACCGGGAGUAAUGUCUAUCACCUUCCCGUUGGCGCUCAAAUUAGGCUCAAAAGUUGACCAGGGAAUGCCGGUUGCACAGUGGACCACGGCAUCAUAUUUCCGACCAGAUGGGCUAUUCAGAGCUGCUCCUUCUGGGGUCUUGUAGUCAAGAACCUCAUCUGCCCCUAAGCUCUUGACAAAUUCAAUGUUCCGAGCUCCACAAGUAGCUGUAACAUGCGUGUUUCCAAGCUUUGCUAGUUGGACUGCAUAUUGACCCACACCACCAGAGGCAGCAGUAAUCAGUAUGUUCUUUUGCUGGCCGCUUCCGUCCAGCUUGACCCCAGCAGCCUGCGUGAGACACUGGUGAGCUGUGAGGCCAGCAACAGGUAAGCCUGCACCUUCAGCUGCUGAUACUUCAGGUGGCCUGGUCACUGUCAAGUUCUCAGUAGCUGCAGCGUACUUGGCCAGUCCACCUCCCUUUUAUACGACAACAAAGAAAAGUGAGCCACAGAUGAUAGCAGUGACAAACAAAUGAAGAUAGGAUUUAACCAAAGGAAUAAAACGAAAACUUACAGCUUGGGAAAGAUAUGCCACAACUUUGUCGCCAGGUUUGAACUUUUGGACCCCCUGUCCAACUUCUACAACCUCUCCAGCAACAUCAGUAACUGUUUUCAACAAUAUCAUUAGCCAAUGUCAACAAACAAGAGUGUACAAACCACAAAACAACUCGUCUUGCAAUAUAGGAGCAUAAUUUGUUUCAGAAUGUUGCUAAUUUAUCUACCUCACAACUCUCCCCAACAACACGAAACUGAUCAAAUUCCGGUAAAUGUAUCAAUCAGUUCAACGCUGUAGUACUUAAUCAAACACCGGGAAAAACAGAAAUUACCGGGUGUAUAAGGGAAUUUGCGGGGCAAAAAAGGCCGCAACAUGCCUUUCUGAAUUUUCCAAUCAAUUGGGUUUAUACUGGCUGCUUCCAGUUUCAGCAAAACCUCGCCUUUCGUCGGAGGGGGGAUCGGAACCUCUACAUGCUGCAACAACCAUACAAUUUUGCAUAAACAAUUUAUUAAGGUAGCUCUCACAUGUACUACUUUCUCCAUGGAUUUUUAUUGCCCUUCAAAAUCAAGGGCACAUAUUCAAUCAACAUUGCAGCAUUUUCUCAAGAGUUAUCAUUCAUCUCUUCGGUUUUUAUUUUAUUUAUUUGGGAUUUCAGAGCCUAAUUAUACAAGUAAUACAUUUUCUUUUUACACCGAAGAGUAUUGAGCAUUAAUGAAAUCCCAGAAGCAAAAAUCACCAAUAAAAUAAGAAUAAAAGACAUGAGAAAUCUACAAAAUAAUGUUUUUACAGAAAAAUAGAGAAUAAAAAAGAAGGCGACAAUCGUAAAGAAAGAACCUUUAAACCAGAAGCUCCUCCGCCAUAGCCGUCGUACUGAACCGCAUGCAUAAGCUUCGACGCCAUUGCUGCCAUCCCCUGAGUCGGCAGAGAGAUAGAGAGGGGCGACAGAGAGUGCGUGUGUGUUUUCCUAGAUUCUUUGCGGGAGCGGCUUUAGACGUCUUGUAUACCAGACGUGGACGCACAGCAAGUUGCCAAGUGUUAUAUUAUUGUGAAUGACGGAAAUAACCUUUUAUUUUAUUAUAUUGAUGUUUCGGUUUUCGAUUUUUCUCGAUUUUUUUAUUACCAAAAUAUAAAAUUUGGUGUUUUAAGAAAAGAGAUUGUUAUUGGUACUUUAAAAAUCUAAUUUUGCACUCCAAACUUUCUAUAAUUAGAAAGAAAAAAACGCUUGUGAGGAGUGUAGAAUGAGAUUUAUGAAAUGUCCCUUAAGAAAUUCUAUGUAAUUCAAUGAAAUUAUAUGUAAUUAAAUAUUGAUCACUUAUCGAUAAAAAAGUAAAAACGAAGUCAAAUAUAUAUUGACCUUAAAUCGUUCAAAUACUAAACCAUUGUAUCCCACUUUUUCAGGGCCUAAAAAAGUGAGUAAUAUUAUUCAUACUAUAUUUUUGUACUACAUUUUCAUAUCAUCUUAAGUGGCAUUUGAGGUAAACAGUUUAUUUCUUGAAAAAUUAUGAUAAAAAAAUUGUAUGCGGAGAUUUAUCGAAAAAAAGAAAAUUGUAUGCAAAGAGUACUGACUUUUUAAUAUAGUAAGCUAACUACAAUUUACAUCAUAAUUUUACAAUUGUAUCAAUUUACAUCUUUUGAAUAUUUGAAUGUACUAAUAUCCAUUAAGUUGAUGAGUUUUUCAAUCAAUGUGGUGCAUAUAUAACUUACAAAUCAUCGCAAUUACGGAUUUCAUAAUUACCAUGUCAUCAACUUGAUGAAGAUUUAAACACUAACAAAAUGGUACAAGUCAAAAUCUUAGGGGGCAAUACGAAAAAAAUAUAGAGGGUGUAAAAUAUAUAUAGCCAUAAUAUAAUAGGAUGUAUGGGAUGCACACCCAACAAUACUUACUAUAAAAUGUACUUAACAAUAAAAUUAACAUUAAUUUAUAUCCAUACCUUAUCAUUUACAAUACAAACACCCACACAUCAAUGGGAGAUAAAAUAAAGCACACAUGAAAUUUACAUACCACUUAAGAAACACUAAGAUGUAUAUACAUGGGUAAUGCUAUCCACACACCUUUAUUUACUUUUCACAUACCCCUCUCAAUUUUCAACUGUCUAGUCGAGUGAAUUGAAGGUGAUCAAAAGACAGAAAUUAACAAAUGGCAUGUGAAUAGAACCACCCUGUCUCUUGUCUACUUAAGGCUCGACAAUAAUCUUUCCAGUCGCGUGUCCAUCCAUACUCCUAGCCCAAGCAUCUUCAGCCUUGCUCAGAGAAUACGUCGAGUCGAUUACCGUCUUGAGCUUUCCUUCCUUCACCAACUUAACAAGAUACUCCAAGUUCUCAGCCUUGACAUUCAGAAACAGUGGCACCAGCUGCUUCUUCGAGAAUGUGAGUUUCUUCAGUGCAAAAGUAGCAAAGGCACUUGGACUGGGAGUGAUGUCUAUUACCUUCCCGUUGGUACUCAAAUUAGGCUCAAAAGUUGACCAGGGGAUGCCAGUUGCGCAGUGGACCACAACAUCAUAUUUCCGACCAGAUGGGCUAGUCAGAGCUGCUCCUUCUGGGGUCUUGUAGUCAAGAACCUCAUCUGCCCCUAAGCUCUGGACAAAUUCAAUGUUACGAGCUCCACACGUGGCUGUAACAUGCGUGUUACCGAGCUUUGCUAGUUGGACUGCAUACUGACCCACGCCCCCAGAGGCAGCAGUAAUCAAUAUGUUCUUUUGCUGGCCGCUUCCGUCCAGCUUGAUCCCAGCAGAUUCCGUGAGACACUGGUGAGCUGUGAGGCCAGCAACAGGUAAGCCUGCACCUUCAGCUGCUGAGACUUCAGGUGGCCUGGACACUAUCAAGUUCUCACUAGCUUUAGUGUACUCAGCCAGUCCACCUCCAUUCUAUCCAUACAUAAGAUGACAAUGAAAUUGAGGCACACAUAUAAUAAAUGAGUUCUAAAUGUGAAACUUCUUAUAUGCACAAUUAGAUCUUCAAGACGGGGAAAAAGUAACCAAAGGAAUAAGAUGAACACUCACAGCAUGGCUCAGAAAUGUCACAACUUUGUCCCCCGGUUUGAACUUUUGCACUCCUUGUCCAACCUCUACAACCUCUCCAGCCACAUCAGUAACUGUUAAUAUCAUUAGACAACGUUAAAAACAAAAACCUACCAGUCUACAAACUGAAUGACAUUGAUAACUUAAACCAUCAAACACCUCGCCUUUCAAUGUAGGAUAGAUGAAUGCCAUUUUAAAAAUCAAAGCACAAAUUUACUUCAGAAUCCAACUGAUUCAAGCACCAGAAAAAUCAUUAAAAAAAAAAGCACCGGAAAAUUCUCCCAAGAUUACAAAUAGCAUAAAGUGUAAAUGAGAAGUUUCAUUGAAAACACGAUAUGAUCCGUAAACCAUUGUGCUUACUUUUCAAUAUUCACUUUUUAAAAAGGGUCUCUUCGGCAUGCCUAGUUUUUCAAUAAUGCAGUAACCAAUCACACCCAGUACCUUGUACAACAGUUAGCAUGUUUCAGCUUAUGAGACCAGUUGAAUGUUGUCUAGGUAUGUCAAAAAUUUAACUAGCCCGGUGCAGCAAACUUAUUGAAAGGCGAGUAGACUACACAUCAGUGGCAUUACCAAACACUAAUGACAAGCACUACGCUGUAAUGUGAAGUGAACAAACACGUCUGAAAAGGAGCAGGCACAAACUAGAAAGCGGGUUCUUUUGGUGAAAAAGGGGGCCUAGCCCAAACAAACUUCUACAAAUCUAUGCCUGGUAAGGCCAACCAAAUCUUCCAAUACAAAAAGAGGACGAUCAAUCAUUAUAAAAACAGAGGCCUUGUUUGGUGUCAAGCAUUGGACUCGAAGAGAUAACACACUUGACUGAAUGGAUUUUAGAACAAAAAACCGGAUGCCAGAUUUCACAUGUUGCCUAAGUUGAAGGUAGAAGAUUGAUUAGUCAUAGAGGAUUAAGUUAUCCUUUCAAUCCCCACAAAAAUGGUAGAGUUAAUUUUCCUCCAUGACUAAUCCUCCUUCUAACUUCAACUUAAACAACAUAUGAAAGUUGGCAUCCAUUUUUUCUUUGACGUACAUUGAACCUAGUAAGUUAUCCAUUCCAACCCAAUCCUAGACACCAAACGAAGGCCAAAGUUCCUACCAAUACGAUCAACUUCUCGUUUAUAACACUACAAGUUAAUCUGACUUUAUAACAAACAGAUCACUUAAAAUCUUAUUCAUUUUUCUAGAUGCUAUGAUUGGACUGUCAAAUUAUUUACUCAGGAACUCACAAGCACGCACAUAAUUACUGCUGGGAAAGUUCAAGAUUGAUUGUAACUUGUAAGAAAAAGAAUUUGGUCAAAUUCUUGCAAGCAAAGAAAGCAGAAUCAUUCACCAGGUAUGUGAGGAAAUUUUCGGGGGAAAAAAGGCCGAAGCAUGCCCUUCUGAAUUUUCCAAUCAACUGGGUUUAGAGCAGCUGCUUCCAGUUUCAACAAAACCUCCCCCUUCUUGGGAGAGGGGACCGGAGCCUCCACAUGCUGCAAAAAACAAAUUACAUGAAUAAAAUACACAUAAAUUCGAGAAGGAAAUAUCAAAGAAGGAAAAACAUAUGAGAUAGAUGUACAAAAUGUUAGACCAAACAAAUUUACAGAAUAACAAAAGGGGAACGUACGAGAUGAAGAAAGAAAAGCGAUAACCUUUAAAGCAGAAGCGCCUCCGCCAUAGCUGUCGUACUGUACCGCAUGCAUAAGCUUUGACGCCAUGUUGCCGUACCCUUCUGAAUCGGCAGAGACAGACGAGGGAGGAUUCAGAUUUGUAGAGAGAGAAGAGAGAGAGUGAGAGAGGGCGAGUUGCUAGAUCCUUGUGGAUGGAAUUUGGAUCCUCUCCUGAGCAGAAGGUGAGGAUCCAAGGUAUGUGGACCGUUAGAUAAAAAUCUAACGGUUAUAAUUAUUAUAAUUUUAAAGAAAUCCCUUAUUUGUAAUCGUUGGAUUUUCAUCUAACGACCUACAAUCCUUGAUCAGGAAGACCCUCACCUUGAGCUCAGGAGAGGAUCGAAAUCCCUAGGAUUGGGUUUUUGACAACGACACUUGGAAUUAUUUCAGUUUGCCACGUGUUGAACUAAGAUAAUCGACGGAAAUAACUCUCUGGUUUAUUGACUUUAUUCACUUGUAAAUAUAUCAUUAUAUAAAAAUAAAUUUAGAGUUGGUUGGAGGGUGUGGUGCUUUAAAAAAAAAUUAAAAAAAUUUAGACAUCAAAUGUGUUUAGUAAAACAAAAGAAAAUUGUUUCUUUUUCAAAAUUGUUGUCAAUAACAAUAAAAAAUAGAACUAUGGUCUACCAUGCUACUAUGCUUCUUGAAAAAGUUUUUUUUUUUAUUCAAAGCAUUGUGAAUAGUAUCUAUUUAAUGAAAAUUUCAAAUGAUAAGUAUACUCCUGUAUACUAUACAAAAUUACAAUUUUUAUCGCUGCAUUAUUCUCUUUGAUAAUUUUUAUAACACAUUGAAUGUUAUAGUCUUUGUAAUCAUUUAACAUGUUUACAACAUUUUUAUAUAAAAGUUUACCAAAUAUUUAAAUAUUAUUUUUUUGUUAAAAGCACUUUUACAAAAAAAAAAUUUAUCAAAUAUUCAACAACUUUAUUUUACAGCUAUUUAUUCUCACAGCACAACAUAAGUAUUUUUUUUUUCAAAAAACGCAACAAUACCAAACUAGCCCUUAGUGUUAGAGCUCGCCAAGGAAGAGUAACUCGAUUAGCCUAUUUCAUCUUACAUCUAUCAUAUUAUUAAUUUAAAUAGAUAAUCAAAAUCUUGUAAGUAUUUAUAAUUUGGACAAAAUUGACACCCAGCAAAAUCAUAAUAAAAUUGACAGGUAACAACCCCAAGGGGUAGGUCAAUGAGGGAGCAAAAGUUUAGAACUCACAACCUAAAACGUAGUUAACAUUGCCAACUGUAAAACGUAGUUAACAAUAAAAUGAACAUUAUUUAAAUCCAAACCUUAUCAUUUACAAAACAAACACCCACACAUCAAGGGGAGAUAUCAUAAAGCACAAAUGAAGUUUACAUACCGCUAUAAAAACAUUAAGGACUUGUAUGUCAUGGAUUGUGAUAACCACACCUCUUUAUUUACCAUUCACACAUCUUACUCAAUUUCCGACUGCCGGAUCUAAUGAAUUGAAGAUGAUCGAAUGAUGUAAAUAAAUAAAGAGUGUGUGAAUAGUAUCACCCUAUAUUUUGUUUACUUAACCUCGACAAUAAUCUUUCCAGUCGCGUGUCCAUCUACACACCUAGCCCAAGCAUCUUCAGCCUUGCUAAGAGGGUGCGUCGAGUCAAUCACUGUCUUGAGCUUUCCUUCCUUCACUAACUUAACAAGAUACUCCAAGUUCUCCGCCUUGGCAUUCAUAAGCAGUGGCACCAGCUGCUUCUUCGAGAAUGUCAGUUUCUUCAGAGCAAAAGUAGCAAAAGCACUUGGACCAGGAGUGAUGUCUAUGACCUUCCCAUUGGCGCUCAAAUUAGGCUCAAAAGUUGACCAGGGGAUGCCGGUUGUGCAGUGGACCACAGCAUCAUAUUUCCGACCAGAUGGGCUAGUCAGAGCUGCUCCUUCUGGGGUCUUGUAGUCAAGAACCUCAUCUGCCCCUAAGCUCUUGACAAAUUCAAUGUUACGAACUCCACAAGUGGCUGUAACAUGCGUGUUACCGAGCUUUGCUAGUUGGACUGCAUACUGACCCACGCCCCCAGAGGCAGCAGUAAUCAAUAUGUUCUUUUGCUGGCCGCUUCCGUCCAGCUUGACCCCAGCAGCUUGCGUGAGACUUUGGUGAGCUGUAAUGCCAGCAACAG
rnacentral:lncRNA from 1 species